UUCGCAAUGCCCGAAAGGGUGACGAUGCGACGCCGCGUGAGCGAAGAAGGCCCUAGGGUUGUAAAGCUCUGUCGAGGGUUAUGAAAUAUAGAUGGGUUAAUACCCCAUUUAUUUGACAAAAGCCCAAAAGGAAGCCACGGCUAACUCUGUGCCAGCAGCCGCGGUAAUACAGAGGUGGCGAGCGUUGUUCGGUAUUAUUGGGCGUAAAGAGCACGUAGGUGGUUUUGUAAGUCAGGUGUGAAAGCCUUCUGUUCAAAGGAAGAACGGCAUCUGAAACUGCAUAUCUUGAGUGUAGGAGGGGAGAGUGGAACUUCUGGCGGAGCGGUGAAAUGCGUAGAUAUCAGAAGGAACGUCGGCGGCGAAAGCGACUCUCUGGCCUAUUACUGACACUGAGUGUGCGAAAGUUAGGGGAGCAAACGGGAUUAGAUACCCCGGUAGUCCUAACCGUAAACGAUGGGCACUAAGUAGAGGGGUUUU
rnacentral:rRNA from 1 species